CUAUAUAAUAAACAGAACACUACACGGUGGCUUGAAGAUAUGACUUUUAUCUUCUCGUGUUAAAAACAAUAUUUUACUCACUCUCUGCGCUCGUUCGUAAAAUAUUGUUUUCACCACUCGAAGAUAAAAGUCGUAUCUUAUUGUUAUUCUAAUGAGUUUCACACAGUUUUCACAGUUGGACUUUUAUUUUAAAACAUUUUAUUUUAUUAUAAAAAUUAAUGCCCAACAUAAAAUUUUCUUAAAAUGUGCUAACUUGUACAGACAUGUAUGUGAAAAUGUGCUAAUAAAACUUUGGUUUUACUUUGAUUUUCUCGGCUUAGACAACAUUAAUUUUUUUUAAUUACUUCGCCAAUGAACUCAUCAGAUGGGUCGUUUUUUUAAGCCAUUUGAAACACUUGUUUUAUCGAUUUAUACAGGGUGUCCCAAAAAAAAAAGUACCCUCUAUAGAAAUUAUCCUAUUGUUAUAAUUUGAAUGCCUGAGCACUAUGCUGGACACAAGAGUGCGUAAGCACAAUUGAAUUGAAUUUUUAAUUACCAGUCGCAUGAAAAAUCCAGUGCUUAACAACAAUAGGAUAAAUUUCUAUAGAGGGUACUACUUUUUUGGGGACACCCUGUACAGGGUGUCCCAAAAAAACCCAGCGAAACCAUUG